UUCAGAUUCGUUUUUCGUGUGAUUGAUUGUGCGCAGCAGUAGAUCCAAACAGAGAUAGAAUCUGGUCCACAAAGUGGUUUGCCGAGGAUGUGGGCACGUUGUGUGUCAUAAAUUUUUCCCCUCCCUCAGCUCCAUGCGUAACGGUACAAAUGCAGAUCGAAGUAGAAAAAACAACAAUUACAAAUAAAAAGCAAGUAUAAUACUACUUUGAGAAGUUUGCUUUCGGGAGGGUUUUGUUCUCUUUGAAAGGUUUCUCAGAGCAACGGAAGGCAUCUGCAUCCUGAUUUAUGACGUCCGAAAAUUCGAUGAACAUUGCAGAAGGGUAAUGAGAAAAGGAAAGGAGUGUAAGCUGAUAAGGAUAUAGGAAGGUAAAAGAAUGUUUGAAAGCAAAAGAAGCAGAGAGAGGAAAAGAAAAAUAUGAAGAAGAAGGGAAAUAUUAGGAAUCGAAGGGAACCCAAUGUGCAUGAAAGUUACGACUUGGAGCAUUGCCACCUCAGCAGCAGCAGAUCAGUUUUUGACUGAGUCAGCACUUUAAUUCGCAGCCUCCACAAUCUGUCUAUAUUUCAAGCUUCUUUUCAUCGUGUUCAUGUGGCACAAUAAAUAGAUAGAUGGAUAAUAAAGUGUGUUGUUUUAUUUAUCUUUUUAACAAAACAUGAAUGCUCAUCACUCUCCAGGUUCAAACACAAGACAUGCCUAAGGACAUGCACCCUUCCAAUUUUUAUUCUGCGUAAGUAAAUAAAAAAAUAGACAAAAAGGAUGCCAUUAUACUAGUUUCUUUGAAGAACGUAGCUCUAUUUUAAAUUAUGGAUUUUGUAAAAUUGUUUUAUUUGGCCUCAAAUAUCUCUAGCUUCCUUGAUGUCUUCUCUCUUGAAAACCAAAAUUUUAAUAUGUUCGUUUGUUGUUUGUGCUUAUGUUUGGACUAUUGACACAAUCACCUUCUUGUUUUGUUUUGUUUUGUUUUGUUUUUUUUUUAUUUUUUUUGUUUUGCGGAAAUACCAGAACUUUCUUUUUAAAUUCAAUUAUUUUGUAUUCGGUAAGAUGAAUUACUUUUCUUCCACAACUUGAACAAAGCGAGACAGAAUAUGCACAAGAGAAACAACAAAUUGAAGAAUUCCAACAGAAGCUUAAGUUUUCACUGCAAGUCCGUUAACUCGCAGUCGAGUGAUGCCACUCCCAAGUUGCGGAUUAAGUGACAAUGGAGUUUUUUGGGUUCACGCUGUGCAAUCGCACGCAUGCUCACGACCAGGCCAGAUUAGAAGCUUCACUCUGGAGCCUCCCAUCGUCACCAAGGUUCGUUCCUGGGAUUCCAUGAUUUGAGAUUUAAGGUAUCAUGUAUCUUGUUCCACUUCUUUAAGAAGUGUUAUUGAGUUUUGUA
rnacentral:lncRNA from 1 species